rnacentral:rRNA from 1 species
CUCAGAUGAACGCUGGCGGCAUGCCUUACACAUGCAAGUCGAACGGCAGCGGGCCCUUCCGGGGUGCCGGCGAGUGGCGAACGGGUGAGUAAUGCAUCGGAACGUACCCGGGAGAGGGGGAUAACCGGCCGAAAGGCUGGCUAAUACCGCAUGAACUCGGAAGAGCAAAGCGGGGGACCUUCGGGCCUCGCGCUCUCGGAGCGGCCGAUGUCCGAUUAGGCUAGUUGGUGGGGUAAAGGCCCACCAAGGCGACGAUCGGUAGCGGGUCUGAGAGGACGAUCCGCCACACUGGGACUGAGACACGGCCCAGACUCCUACGGGAGGCAGCAGUGGGGAAUCUUGAACAAUGGGCGCAAGCCUGAUCCAGCAAUGCCGCGUGGGUGAAGAAGGCCUUCGGGUUGUAAAGCCCUUUCGGCGGGGAAGAAAUCGGUCAGGCGAAUAGUCUGGCCGGAUGACGGUACCCGCAGAAGAAGCACCGGCUAACUACGUGCCAGCAGCCGCGGUAAUACGUAGGGUGCGAGCGUUAAUCGGAAUUACUGGGCGUAAAGGGUGCGCAGGCGGCCCUGUAAGACCGGUGUGAAAUCCCCGGGCUCAACCUGGGAAUUGCGCUGGUGACUGCAGGGCUAGAGUACGGUAGAGGGGGGUGGAAUUCCUGGUGUAGCAGUGAAAUGCGUAGAGAUCAGGAGGAACACCGAUGGCGAAGGCAGCCCCCUGGGCCUGUACUGACGCUCAUGCACGAAAGCGUGGGGAGCAAACAGGAUUAGAUACCCUGGUAGUCCACGCCCUAAACGAUGAGAACUAGCCGUCUGGAGUCUUCGUGCUCUGGGUGGCGCAGCUAACGCGUGAAGUUCUCCGCCUGGGGCAGUACGGCCGCAGGUUAAACUUAAAGGAU